UCCAUCCGAGGAUGCUUUAUACGCCGUCUCUCGGUUGUUAAUAACCGGUCCGGUCCGGUCCGGUAUUGUGAAUUAAGAAAAACAAAUGAGUAAACCAAGAGUUUCUUCUUCUUCUUCUUCUUCUUCUAUCACACAAACAAUCUGUAGAUCUUCUCUCUCAGAUUAUGGCAUGAUUCGAAUUAGGAGCGGCUCUUUUCAAACUGAAUGAAGAGUGAUUCCCACCAAUUCAAACGCUCAAUCUAAAGGUCAGAGCUCUGUGAAUUGUUUGAGUUAGUAAUGGAUAUUUCUAUUGCGGGACAGAUGAUGAUGAUGCCUUCUUCUUCUCUCCCACUAGACUGCUUUGCUUGCUUAUUCCAACACUGACGUGACUGCUUUCUUUUUCCCAUUCCCGUUGCCUACAACCCUGAUAAAGGUUCUCCUUCCCACUUCAAUAACCCCUCAUUCUAUUCUCACCACCAAUCUUACCUACAUUACAGAGGAGGGUGAUGAUCAUCAUUCCUCCACCUCUCCUUUUCCUCUCUUCUCUUUAGCGCCAACAUUACCUGCUCUCAACGACAUGAAAGCUUUUCUCUCUCUCUCAAACCUGUCAGUCAUGAAGGUAGUAACUAUCCCCCUUGUUUUUACCCUUCUUCCCUUCCAAACUAUUAUUUAUAUUCUCUUUCAGGUGGAUAAAGAUUUCGUAAACAAAUGUAAAUUUGUGGUUGCCACUGGGAUUUUCGAUGCAUAUGAUCAACCCCACCAGCCAUCUAACAUUAGCCAAGAACCUCUUCUGUUUCCUUCUGGUGGUUGACGAGCUCUCUCUCCAUUUCUUAACAUCAAACACUACUUUGACUGUGAGCCAAGAUGUUCAUAGGAGGCCAAUGGGUCGGCAUUUGGCGUCUUAUUCUACUCAAAACUCCUCCUUAUGAUGAACCUAGGCUAGGAGGAACGGCAAAGUCCCCAAAAUCUUAAUUACUACUGUUAUUGAGGGAGCGGUGAUAAUAAGAGAACACACUGCAAUGAACAAUCUCUUCAGCUGCCUGUGGUUCAACGAGGUACACCUGCUAACACCCAGGGACCAGCUUAGCUUUGGGUACGUAGUGGACAGACUAAAAUGAGCCUUCAAGGUGUUCAUGUUUCACAACUGUGAUGUGAAUACAACUCUCUCUUUCAACUGCACCCUCACAUCCGACAACAUUCCUCUAAGAUCGAGUGGGUCAAGAGUGUCAAGGAACUCAAAGGGAAAGGAGAGUGUUUGAAGGAGAGCCGAGGCGGCUUUGGGCUCUGGAUUCCGUUGAGCUGCCACAAGUUGUAAGAACUUCCAAAGCUGGUUGAGGCAAAAGCGCGACUGGUCUCUCUCUCUCUCUCUUUUCUCUUUGUAUAGCUCACUUCUUUGUAUAGAUUCG